GGUUUAGCUCGGCUAUCUUUGGACUAAGACGUCGCCCUUACAAGGCGAAGAUCCCCAGUUCGAAUCUGGGCGAACCCA
rnacentral:tRNA from 1 species